AGUGGGAGCAGGAACUUAGGGAGCUUGCUCCCAGGCGUCGAGCGGCGGACGGGUGAGUAAUGCAUGGGAAUCUGCCCGGUAGUGGGGGAUAACCUGGGGAAACUCAGGCUAAUACCGCAUACGUCCUACGGGAGAAAGCAGGGGAUCUUCGGACCUUGCGCUAUCGGAUGAGCCCAUGUCGGAUUAGCUUGUUGGUGAGGUAACGGCUCACCAAGGCGACGAUCCGUAGCUGGUCUGAGAGGAUGAUCAGCCACAUCGGGACUGAGACACGGCCCGAACUCCUACGGGAGGCAGCAGUGGGGAAUAUUGGACAAUGGGCGAAAGCCUGAUCCAGCCAUGCCGCGUGUGUGAAGAAGGCCCUCGGGUUGUAAAGCACUUUCAGUGGGGAAGAAAGCCUUGGGGCUAAUACCCUCGAGGAAGGACAUCACCCACAGAAGAAGCACCGGCUAACUCCGUGCCAGCAGCCGCGGUAAUACGGAGGGUGCGAGCGUUAAUCGGAAUUACUGGGCGUAAAGCGCGCGUAGGCGGUCUGAUAAGCCGGUUGUGAAAGCCCCGGGCUCAACCUGGGAACGGCAUCCGGAACUGUCAGGCUAGAGUGCAGGAGAGGAAGGUAGAAUUCCCGGUGUAGCGGUGAAAUGCGUAGAGAUCGGGAGGAAUACCAGUGGCGAAGGCGGCCUUCUGGACUGACACUGACGCUGAGGUGCGAAAGCGUGGGUAGCAAACAGGAUUAGAUACCCUGGUAGUCCACGCCGUAAACGAUGUCGACUAGCCGUUGGGGUCCUUGAGACCUUUGUGGCGCAGUUAACGCGAUAAGUCGACCGCCUGGGGAGUACGGCCGCAAGGUUAAAACUCAAAUGAAUUGACGGGGGCCCGCACAAGCGGUGGAGCAUGUGGUUUAAUUCGAUGCAACGCGAAGAACCUUACCUACCCUUGACAUCGAGAGAACUUGGCAGAGAUGCCUUGGUGCCUUCGGGAACUCUCAGACAGGUGCUGCAUGGAUGUCGUCAGCU
rnacentral:rRNA from 1 species